rnacentral:misc_RNA from 1 species
GAAAUGCGAUAAGUAAUGUGAAUUGCAGAAUUCCGUGAAUCAUCGAAUCUUUGAACGCACAUUGCGCCCUCUGGCAUUCCGGGGGGCAUGCCUGUCCGAGCGUCAUUACGCACCCUCAAGCCCGGCUUGUGUGAUGGGCCCUGGCGUCUCGUUCGCGAGACGGGCCCGAAAGGCAGCGGCGGCGUCGACCCGCUGAGCCCGAGCGUAUGGGGACUUUUGUCACACGUUUGCGGUGCGGACCGGCGCCUGCUUGACUUUUCUGAUUAUCCAGGUUGACCUCGGAUCAGGUAGGGAUACCCGCUGAACUUAAGC